rnacentral:rRNA from 1 species
GACGAACGCUGGCGGCGUGCCUAAUACAUGCAAGUAGAACGCUGAAGGAGGAGCUUGCUUCUCUGGAUGAGUUGCGAACGGGUGAGUAACGCGUAGGUAACCUGCCUGGUAGCGGGGGAUAACUAUUGGAAACGAUAGCUAAUACCGCAUAAGAGUAGCUGUUGCAUGACAUUUGCUUAAAAGGUGCAAUUGCAUCACUACCAGAGGGACCUGCGUUGUAUUAGCUAGUUGGUGGGGUAACGGCUCACCAAGGCGACGAUACAUAGCCGACCUGAGAGGGCGACCGGACACCUGGGGACUGAGAGAGCGCCCAGACUCAGACGGGAGGAAGAAGUGGGGAAUAUUGCACGAGGGGCGGAAGCAUGAUGAAGCAAGUUCGUGUGCGGGAUGACGGCUUUAGGGUUGUAAAACGAUUUAGCAUGUGAAGAAGUGUGAGUGGCGGUAAUGUGUAAAGAAGCACCGGCUAGCUACGUG